rnacentral:lncRNA from 1 species
CCCCAUUUCACCAAAUUCCCUCCCAAUCUUAAUUCAAUUCCCGCUCCCUCCUCUAAAUUGAGUUCCCUCCCACCAUUUCAAUUUUCAAUGUUUCAUCAGCCUAUAGAUAAUUAGAUACUACACAACAACUGGGUUUCACAUUUUCCUCUUUCACCAACAAAACCCUCUUUUCUUUCCCUCUUAUUCUUCUUUGAUUUUGAGAGUGAAGUGUUAAAGUAGGGAGAGAAACUUUUACCUCUCGAUCUGCUCAUGUUGGUCUACAGAAACAAAAAGAUUGGAGAAAGAAAAAGAAAGAGCAAAGAAACUCAAAAUGAUGGAGCAAUUUAAGGAAAAUUGGAUUGCAAAUGCCGAAAUGAAAGAACGAGUUCAAUUCACAAGUAGACAUUCAAAUUGAUGAAUGUGGUGUGUUUACUUGGAAGGGAUCAUUUUAACAUUUCGUCUUAUAAAGAUUUCAGGACAAGAAACAAUAUAAAGCAUGGGGAACAAUACUAGGCUAAAGAGAUAACUCUGUUGCGCAUUAAAAAAGGAAGAGACAAUACGGUUCUGGUUGCAAGUAUGAAUUGAAGACGAUGGUAUUGGGUGCAAGUAUGAUGACAUCAGUUCGGGACGCUAUUGUAUAUCACUUUUAUCAUCUUUAGAGAUAUAUGUAUUUAUCUUACUUUAAAACUCUUGUAAUCUUGUGUUACUUUGAAACCUUUGUAAUUUGUAUUCUUGGGUUCUAUUAUAUUGGUUCUAAUUUAAUUUUGUUUUUUGU